rnacentral:lncRNA from 1 species
AAAGUCUUUACUGUCAAUUUUGAUCAGUUUAAUUUGUCCAUGCUCAUUAAAUUGAUUUAGUUAUUUAUUUAGUUAUUAAUUUUUGUUUAAUCCAAACUUUUGAAUAGUACUGUGAUGAUGAUGAUAAGAAGAAAUCUGUUUUUUAAGCAGCAAAUCAGCACAUUAGAAUAAUUUCUGAAGGAUCAUAUGACACUAACAAAUUUAGUAAUGGUUGCUGAAAAUUAAUCUUUGUCACUGGGGGUAAAAUAAUUUUUGUUGUUUUUGUUGUUAUUAGGAAAUACAGAACACAAGAAAUUGGAGCUUGAAGAGAAUUUUGACAAAUGAGAGAUGAGUUCCCAGCAGGGGGUGCUAGAUGUUUGUAGUUUCUUAUAGUUUAAACAUCCCAAUCCAGUAGGUUUGGGAUAAUAUAUGAUUUAAAAUUGCAGUAGUUUAAUUAGUAUUUUUAGUAGCUUUUACAUUGCUCUGGUCCAUUUCAGUGUUGUCGGCUGCAUCAUAUUAUUCCAGAAUUGCAUGUGUAACUGCAAUUUAUGAAAUACUAAAACCAAAAGAUUAAGUUAUGUAUUACAAUUAUGCUAUUAUAGAAAUUGAUUAGUGAGGGAUCUGCCUCCCCUCACAUUACCGUCACCUCUUUGAUCGAAGAGUCAGACUCUGAAUGCGAGGAGGUGACCCACUUCUUAUCUUCUUCAAUAAAAUGAGAACACCACAGCCCCUAUAUUUUCAUGCUUCCAUAGGCAUUUAAUCUGAAUUUAUAUGUAAAAUAAAAGCCUCUCUCAGCCAUCGCCCCAUCCUGCUUGCUCCAUCUUUGCCCCCUGCAACAAGCUGUUGGCUGAAACAUUGCCUAUUUAAAGUGCCAGAUCACACGGUUUUCUAUAUCUGUCCUUGGCUGUUAAGGUGUGUUUAUGCAUCCAGAAUCACUAUGUGGUCCGAAUCCAAUCUUCUUUGUCAAGCUUGAUCUUCUUCAUCAAGCCCAAGCUCACCCCAGGGAGGAUGUCGGGGUUCAUUCAAGGAAAGAGGAAUCACGAGCUGUGAAAUGUUUCAGAUGGCAACAACAUCUGAGCCUAAAUGCCACUUGCUGUGCCAUUUAAGACCCCAUUUAUCAAUUCAGCCAGUUCUCAGUUGGAAACAGGUAAAAGCUACCAUGUCAAGCCUUUAUUGUAUGCUCUGACAUGCUUUUUUUCCCCCAGCCACCAUCAUGAAUUGAUUCUUAAAAGAAGCCAAUUUGGCUAGUGAGCUGCCACCCUUCUCUCUUCUUUCCUGAUCUAUUGUGUUUAGUCUGUAUUGUGCCCACUCUGAGGACCAGAGGAGGGUUGCCAUGGCAUUCCUGCCAACAGCACUUCAUUCAACAGAAGAUGGUGUCAGAGACAAAAGCAGCAUGGUAGAACGAUGCUGGCUGUCUCCCCUUUGGCCCCUGUUUGAAUGCGGUGCAAGGUGUGUGAAGACAAAGAAUCAGGAAUAAGUUUACAUGAGCAAGGGCAUCACUUUAGCAUGAUUAUCACCAUCCUGAGAAACUUGAGAAAUCUCUGAAAACUGCUGUCUAUCCUUACAAGUGACAUUUAUAACCACUUGUUCAACACUGGUAUUAAUGUAACUGCUCCUCUAUACUCUGAGCUUUGUGCCGCUCACUCAGCACAGAUUUUCAUUAAGUGUUUUAUGAAGGUUUGAGACAGCUAAAUAGAAAGUCUCAUUAAAGUGUACUGACACAAAAAGAGAAGAGAACUGAGGUUCUUCCACAACCUCACAUUUUUAUUUUCAGUCUUUCUGGAUUAGAAUCAAAAAUAAAUGAUAUGGGACUGGUGUGAUCCCC